UAUUUUAAUGUGAUGUAGAAGCUUUUAAGGAACCGCCCAAGGUAGGAACAAUGAUAAUUAGCAAAAAGGUGUUUUGUCUACUUCGUACAAUAAUGAAUAAUGAAGGUAGAGUUUAUUUACAAUGUAAAUUCAAUGUAAAGACAACGCCAUCUUGCUGAUUUUCCCUGUAAGUUUAACCCAAAUUUCCUAUUUGCUAUUUGACUUUUGUAAUGAUAAUGUAACUGGUAAAUGUAAAUUAAGGUAGGAUCACCACAGAAAGCCUGAAUUGGAAGAAGAAAGGAAUAAACAAGUGAAAUGAACAACAUGAAGAAGCAACAGAUUGGAAACAAUCAAGACUGUUGGAUGAGUAGCUGCAACGCAAAUUUAUGGGUUUAACCUUUGACUAACAAUGAGUAAAAGUAUUGAUAGAAGAAGGACUGGAAAAAAUAAGGAAAAGUAGACACUGUGAAGAAGAUAA